rnacentral:lncRNA from 1 species
AUGCCAGCAAAUUUGGAAAACUCAGCAGUGGCCACAGGACUGGAAAAAGUCAGUUUUCAUUCAAUUCCAAAGAAAGGCAAUGCCAAAGAAUGCUCAAACUACCGCACAACUGCAAUCAUCUCACAUGCUAGUAUGCUCAAAAUUCUCCAAGCCAGGCUUCAGCAAUACGUGAACCGUGAACUUCCACAUGUUCAAGCUGGUUUUAGAAAAGGCAGAGGAACCAGAGAUCAAAUUGCCAACAUCCACUGGAUCAUGGAAAAAGCAAGAGACUUCCAGAAAAAUAUCUAUUUCUGCUUUAUUGACUAUGCCAAACCCUUUGACUGUGUGGAUCACAAUAAACUAUGGAAAAUUUUGAAAGAGAUGGGAAUACCAGACCACCUGACCUGCCUCUUGAGAGAUCUGUAUGCAGGCCAGGAAGCAACAGUUAGAACUGGACAUGGAACAACAGACUGGUUCCAAAUAGGAAAAGGAGUACGUCAAGGCUGUAUAUUGUCACCCUGCUUAUUUAACUUAUGUGCAGAGCACAUCAUGAGAAAUGCUGGGCUGGAAGAAACACAAGCUGGAAUCAAGAUUGCCGGGACAAAUAUCAAUAACCUCAGAUAUGCAGAUGACACCACCCUUAUGGCAGAAAGUGAAGAGGAGCUAAAAAGCCUCUUGAUGAAAGAGAAAGAGGAGAGUGAAAAAGUUGGCCUAAAGCUCAACAUUCAGAAAACAAAGAUCAUGGCAUCUGGUCCCAUCACUUCAUGGGAAAUAGAUGGGGAAACCGUGGAAACAGUGUCAGACUUUAUUUUGGGGGGCUCUAAAAUCACUGCAGAUGGUGAUUGCUGCCGUGAAAUUAAAAGACACUUACUCCUUGUAAGAAAAGUUAUGACCAACCUAGAUAGCAUAUUCAAAAGUAGAGACAUUACUUUGGCGACUAAGGUCCGUCUAGUCAAGGCUAUGGUUUUUCCUGUGGUCAUGUAUGGAUGUGAGAGUUGGACUGUGAAGAAGGCAGAGUGCUGA